rnacentral:rRNA from 1 species
GAUGAACGCUGGCGGCGUGCCUAACACAUGCAAGUCGAACGGAGUUAUGAUGUGAGCGGGAAGUGCUUGCACUAAACAAUCUUUUCAUAACUUAGUGGCGGACGGGUGAGUAACGCGUGGGUAACCUGCCCUGUACUGGGGGACAACAGUUGGAAACGACUGCUAAUACCGCAUAAGCGCACGGGAUCGCAUGAUCCUGUGUGAAAAACUCCGGUGGUACAGGAUGGACCCGCGUCUGAUUAGCUGGUUGGUGAGGUAACGGCCCACCAAGGCAACGAUCAGUAGCCGGCCUGAGAGGGUGAACGGCCACAUUGGGACUGAGACACGGCCCAAACUCCUACGGGAGGCAGCAGUGGGGAAUAUUGCACAAUGGGGGAAACCCUGAUGCAGCGACGCCGCGUGAGUGAAGAAGUAUUUCGGUAUGUAAAGCUCUAUCAGCAGGGAAGAAAAUGACGGUACCUGACUAAGAAGCCCCGGCUAACUACGUGCCAGCAGCCGCCGUAA